rnacentral:rRNA from 1 species
AGUGGCGGACGGGUGAGUAACGCGUGGACAACCUACCCCGCACUGGGGGACAACAGCCGGAAACGGCUGCUAAUACCGCAUAUGCGCACGGCCCCGCAUGGGGCCGCGCGGAAAGCGCAUGCGGUGCGGGAUGGGUCCGCGUCUGAUUAGCUUGUUGGCGGGGUAACGGCCCACCAAGGCGACGAUCAGUAGCCGGCCUGAGAGGGUGGACGGCCACAUUGGGACUGAGACACGGCCCAGACUCCUACGGGAGGCAGCAGUGGGGGAUAUUGCACAAUGGGGGAAGCCCUGAUGCAGCGACGCCGCGUGGGUGAAGAAGCGCCUCGGCGCGUAAAGCCCUGUCAGCAGGGAAGAAAAUGACGGUACCUGAAGAAGAAGCCCCGGCUAACUACGUGCCAGCAGCCGCGGUAAUACGUAGGGGGCAAGCGUUAUCCGGAUUUACUGGGUGUAAAGGGGGCGCAGACGGCGAUGCAAGCCAGGAGUGAAAGCCCGGGGCCCAACCCCGGGACUGCUCUUGGAACUGCGUGGCUGGAGUGCAGGAGGGGCAGGCGGAAUUCCUGGUGUAGCGGUGAAAUGCGUAGAUAUAUGGAAGAACACCAGCGGCGAAAGCGGCUCUCUGGUCUGUAACUGACGCUGAGGUUCGAAAGCGUGGGUAGCAAACAGGAUUAAAUACCCUGGUA